rnacentral:rRNA from 1 species
GGAGGAAAGCAGGGGAUCGCAAGACCUUGCGCUCAUUGAGCGGCCGAUGCCUGAUUAGCUAGUUGGUGAGGUAAAGGCUUACCAAGGCGACGAUCAGUAGCUGGUCUGAGAGGACGACCAGCCACACUGGGACUGAGACACGGCCCAGACUCCUACGGGAGGCAGCAGUGGGGAAUUUUGGACAAUGGGGGAAACCCUGAUCCAGCCAUGCCGCGUGAGUGAAGAAGGCCUUCGGGUUGUAAAGCUCUUUCAGCCGGAACGAAACGGUCACGGCUAAUACCUGUGACUACUGACGGUACCGGAAGAAGAAGCACCGGCUAACUACGUGCCAGCAGCCGCGGUAAUACGUAGGGUGCGAGCGUUAAUCGGAAUUACUGGGCGUAAAGCGUGCGCAGGCGGUUUUGUAAGUCAGAAGGGAAAUCCCCGGGCUUAACCUGGGAACUGCGUUUCUUAAAGGGAGCUAGAAGGGC